CCAGGAUGCAACAAAUCCCCUCCCCCCUUGGGAAACAGUGACUUCAGUUGAGAGAAAGUUCAAUGAUGCAAUAAUGUAAAAUGAGCUCCUUGUUCUGGGUCCCUCAUUUUCUCAUAUCGCAAACCCUAGGCUGCUGGCAAAUAGUGACUGAAGGAAUCAUCUAGUGGAUUAAAGAAGUACAUGAAAGAUAAUGUCCCACUGUCCUUCAGCUUUUAUCGUUUUUGAAGAUUAACAAGGGCUCAUGUCAUCCUCACUUAAGGACACAAGCUGGUGACCUUCACUAUCUACUUAUCAUCCUGACAAGGGGAAAAGAGAAACAUGAGCAAAACAUGUGGCCUCACUUAAAUUCAAGAGGAUAAGGAAGUGUACCCAUUCAAUUUGCCCAGAAGGAAGAGAACUAAGAUAUAUGUGAAUGAACCUGAAGGCUACUAUGAUGUCAUGUCAUACAGAUUUUUUCACUUUCACAAAAUCAAAUCAGUCAAUUUAUUUCCUCUAUGUGUUGUAUCUUGUAUUAAAAGAACUUCUCCAAGAUGAUAAGA